GAAGAGGGCAUCUAUAUUGUGGAACUGCAGCCACCCAGAUCCUCUGGAACCCAGUUCCUCUGGAAGAGCAGCUAGUGCAUCUCUCAAAUUCUGUCACCAUAGCAAACAUUUUGUGACACAGUUGGAUUGUUUUUAAUUCAUGGUAGCAAUAUUUUAAUUUGCUGUUAUUAACUUUAUAAACAAUUUAAUGGGCACCUUUCCUUUUAAGAUCAAUGGGGAAACUUUAAUUUACAUACAAAAUUGAGCAAAAUUUGUAGAGUUUCAUUCAAAAUUAGAAAAAAUCUAUUUGAAACUAAAAUAGUCACAUUGACUAAAUCUACUAUAAACUAGAUUAUGGGAAUUACAGUAAAAUAGAAUUUGAUCUUAAAUAAUAUUUCUUGUUGAAUUAGGUUAUUGAAAAGACAAUCACAUUAGAAGUCCUCUUUCAGGUUUGUGCUUGCUUUAUGUUUCUAGAGCGAGCAUCUUUAUGUCUGUAAUAAAGCUUACAGGUUGCUUUAAAUUCUUGUGCAUUUGUGUAUGAGAGGAGAGAGUGUAUAUAUGCACAUUUUCCUACCUAGAUGGGUUUUGAACUUAUGAUCCUCCUUCCUUAGCUUCAUGAGUGCUAAGAUUACACAUGUGAGCCAUCACACAGGGCCUGGCUGGUUUUCUUUACUGGAAGAUGUUACAGUGAGUUGAUGUGGGCUUUGACAUAGGCUCAUAUUCUGUCUGCAAUACAUAUUGCAGGUGAGACUUUUUUUCAGAGAGCUUAAAUCUUUUUUUUUAUUUUUUUAUUUUUUUUUGAUUUUACAUAAGAUUAUUUAGCUAGGUGAAAAGUUAGAUUUUCAUUGUGGGAGUUUGGGGGCUUACUGCGACAGUGAAGCUAGUCUCAUGUUGCCAUCUGUUUGUGAAUAGUAAUACAAAACUGGAGUUAAUCCACCUACCUUAUGUUAGCCAAGGAGUUGCUGUACUACCUUCAGUCUGUGUGUUGAUACUCUCUUGUGAUGAAAGAUUACCUUUUAGUGUCAGACACAAUGCAAUAGAGGGGUUCUUAACACUACUUUUUGCUUAUAAUGAUUAAUUUGAUUUGAUUUUGGUUUUUAGUAUCCUAACUGAAAUUAGAAAAAUGUAGUGUAACUAUUUAAAAUUAAAUACACACUAAAUUUAAAGCAGUCAAGUUUCUUGAAUUUUUAGCUUGUAAGACUUGGUUAGUAGAAGAUACUAAUUUUUUAAUCAGGUUGUAGCAAAUUUUUGAGAAAACACUAGGCUAUAAAUUAAUGACAUAUUUUUUCAAAUGAAUACUCUGGAUUGUAGAUUAAUAUAGUGGGAGAACAUGGUAUGGGUUAGAGGAAGAAAAAGAAAGGGAGGAAACAAUGUAAUUCUAUUUUAACUAAAAAUAAAAUAAGCUAUAUAAAGUGACAAAAUAUUUAAAAACAUGAUAGCCAGAAUUGUAUACUUUUUUAUCUAUUAUCAGGCUUCAGUAAAAUUCAUCUCAGGGUUACCUACCUUUACUUUACAAUGUUUUUAUGUGAAAGUUUUUGUCUUUAAACGAUAUAGUCACAACAUUAUAGUUUCUUUAAAAAAUAUAUAAUAGUAUAUCACAUAUUUAUAUUUUUGCCAUGAAUUUUUUAAAAAAGAUUUAUUUGUUGUAUGUGAGUACACUGCCACUGCCUUCAGACACACCAGAAGAGGGCAUCCAUUACAGAUGGCAUCCAUUACAGAUGGUUGUGAGCCACUAUGUGGUUGCUGGGAAUUGAGCUCAGGAUGUCUGGAAGAGCAGUCAGUGCCCUUACCUGCUGAGCCCCUGCUGUGGAUAUUUUAAACAUAUAUUUAAAACAUAAUUGAGAUUAUAAUUGCAUCAUUUCUCCUUUCCUUUUCCUCCCACCAAACUUUCCCAUGUACUACCCCUGGCUCUAUUUCAAAUCCAUAGUCGUUUUUCUUUAAUUGUUGUUACAUAUAUAUGUGUGUGUAUUAGUAUUCCUAAAUAUAUAAAUACAACCUGCUCAAUCCAUAUAAUGCUACUUGUGUAUAUAUGUUUUCAGGGCUGUUGGGCAUUGGCUAUCUGGUUGGUGUGCUCUUCCCUUGGGAAAACUAUUUCCACUAUCCUCAGCAUUCUUGAGUUGCCUGUAGUUGUUUCUCUAGGGCGGAGGCUUCCUGAUCUCGCCAUCUUCACAAUUAGCUAACAUGUCUAUUCAUGUCAGCCUCGUUCAGGUCAUGUUUAGGCAGCCCGGUUGGUAGGACUUCAUGGAGAUAGCUUCUGAGAGUCCUAGGAGACACAAUAUCACAGCAAGUUUCUUGUUUCUCUGGCUCUUAACAGUCUUUCUGUCCUCCCUUUUACAGUGAUUCCUGAGCCAUAGGUUUAGGAGUUGUGUUGUAGAUGAAUCAGUUUUAACUGAGCUCCACAAUCCUACACUUUGCUCAGUUAUGGUUUUCUGUCUGCAUUUUUCUUUAAAAAUGAUUGCAUUUAUUGAUUGUAUGUGUUUGUGCAUGUGUAUAGGUGCACAAAUCACAGUGAAUAUAUGGACGGCAGAGGUCAGCUUUGGGCAUGUUUUUUUUUUCCUUCUGCCUUCAUGGGAAGUGCUUUUAACUACUGGGCUAUCUUGUUGGCCUGUAUUGUGGAUAUUAGUAAUUUUUUUAAAAAGUCACUGUCUUAGUCAGGGUUUCUAUUCCUGCACAAACAUCUUGACCAAGAAGCCAUUGGGGAGGAAAGGGUUUAUUCAGCUUACAUUUCUACACUGCUGUUAUCACCAAAGAAAGUCAGGACUAGAACUCAAGCAGGUCAGGAAGCAGGAGCUGAUGAAGAGCCAUGGAGGGAUGUUCCUUACUGGCUUGCUUUUCUUGGCUUGCUCAGCCUGCUCUCUUAUAGAACCAAGACUACCAGCCCAGAGAUGGUUCCACCCACCACCCACGAGGGGCCUUUCCCCCUUGAUCACUAAUUGAGAAAAUGCCUUACAGCUGGAUCUUGUGGCGGCAUCUCCCCAGCUGAAGCUCCUUUCUCUGUGAUAACUCCAGCCUGUGUCAAGUUGACACCAAAAACCAGCCAGUACAAUUGACCCCUUGUCAACUUUACAUACAAACACAUCACUAAUAAGCCUCAACCCUUACGUUCUUAUUCAUCCCCAAGAUCUUAAAUACUUUAAAAGUCCCACAGUCUUUACAUAUUAAAAGUUCAAUCCUUUUAAAAUGUCCGAUAUCUUUUAAAAUUCAAAGUCUCUUAACUGUGGGCUCCACUAAAAUACUUUCUUCUUCAAGAGGGAAAAAUAUCAGGGCACAGUCACAAUCAAAAGC
rnacentral:lncRNA from 1 species